rnacentral:rRNA from 1 species
GACGAACGCUGGCGGCGUGCCUAAUACAUGCAAGUUGAGCGCUGAAGGUUGGUACUUGUACCAACUGGAUGAGCAGCGAACGGGUGAGUAACGCGUGGGGAAUCUGCCUUUGAGCGGGGGACAACAUUUGGAAACGAAUGCUAAUACCGCAUAAAAACUUUAAACACAAGUUUUAAGUUUGAAAGAUGCAAUUGCAUCACUCAAAGAUGAUCCCGCGUUGUAUUAGCUAGUUGGUGAGGUAAAGGCUCACCAAGGCGAUGAUACAUAGCCGACCUGAGAGGGUGAUCGGCCACAUUGGGACUGAGACACGGCCCAAACUCCUACGGGAGGCAGCAGUAGGGAAUCUUCGGCAAUGGACGAAAGUCUGACCGAGCAACGCCGCGUGAGUGAAGAAGGUUUUCGGAUCGCAAAACUCUGUUGGUAGAGAAGAACGUUGGUGAGAGUGGAAAGCUCAUCAAGUGACGGUAACUACCCAGAAAGGGACGGCUAACUACGUG